rnacentral:rRNA from 1 species
CCUACGGGCGGCCGCAGUGAGGAAUAUUGGUCAAUGGGCGCGAGCCUGAACCAGCCAAGUAGCGGGAAGGAUGACUGCCCUACGGGUUGUAAACUUCUUUUAUAAAGGAAUAAAGUGAGGCACGUGUGCCUUUUUGUAUGUACUUUAUGAAUAAGGAUCGGCUAACUCCGUGCCAGCCGCCGCGGGAAUACGGAGGAACCGAGGGUUAUCCGGAUUGCUUGGGUUUAAAGGGAGCGUAGAUGGGUGGUUAAGUCAGUUGUGAAAGUUUGCGGCUCAACCGUAAAAUUGCAAUUGAUACUGGCAGCCUUGAGUACAGUUGAGGUAGGCGGAAUUCGUGGUGUAGCGGUGAAAUGCUUAGAUAUCACGAAGAACUCCGAUUGCGAAGGCAGCUUACUAAACUGCCACUGACAUUGAUGCUCGAAAGUGUGGGUAUCAAACAGGAUUAGAUACCCUAGUAGUC